rnacentral:rRNA from 1 species
CACGUAGGGGGCAAGCGUUGUCCGGAUUUAUUGGGCGUAAAGAGCUCGUAGGCGGUUUCGUAAGUCGGAUGUGAAAACUCCAGCUCAACUUGGAGACGCCAUUCGAUACUGCGAUGACUUGAGUCCGGUAGGGGAGUGUGGAAUUCCUGGUGUAGCGGUGAAAUGCGCAGAUAUCAGGAGGAACACCGGCGGCGAAGGCAGCUCGCUGGGACGGUACUGACGCUGAGGCGCGAAAGCGUGGGGAGCGAACAGG